rnacentral:SRP_RNA from 1 species
GCUGGGCGCAGUGGCAUGUGCCUGUAGUCCCAGCUGCUAGGAGGCUCAGGUGGGAGGACUGCUUGAGCCCGGGAGUUCUGGGCUGUAGUGUGCUAUGCCGAUCGGGUGUCUGCACUAAGUUUGGCAUCAAUAUGGGGACCUCCCUGGAGCAGGGGACCACCAGGUUGCGUGGGCGAACCGGCUCAGAUCAGAAACAGAGCAGGUCAAAACUCCCAUGCUGAUCAGCAGUGGGAUCGCACCUGUGAAUAGCCACUGCACUCCAGCCUGGGCAACAUAGCGAGACCCCAUCUCU